UACAGAGGUCUCAAGCGUUGUUCGGAAUCACUGGGCGUAAAGGGUGCGUAGGCGGGUCUUUAAGUCAGGGGUGAAAUCCUGGAGCUCAACUCCAGAACUGCCUUUGAUACUGAGGAUCUUGAGUUCGGGAGAGGUGAGUGGAACUGCGAGUGUAGAGGUGAAAUUCGUAGAUAUUCGCAAGAACACCAGUGGCGAAGGCGGCUCACUGGCCCGGUACUGACGCUGAGGCACGAAAGCGUGGGGAGCAAACAGG
rnacentral:rRNA from 1 species